rnacentral:rRNA from 1 species
UACGAAGGGGGCUAGCGCUGCUCGGAAUCACUGGGCGUAAAGGGUGCGUAGGCGGGUUUUUAAGUCAGAGGUGAAAUCCUGGAGCUCAACUCCAGAACUGCCUUUGAUACUGAAAGUCUUGAGUAUGGGAGAGGUGAGUGGAACUGCGAGUGUAGAGGUGAAAUUCGUAGAUAUUCGCAAGAACACCAGUGGCGAAGGCGGCUCACUGGCCCAUAACUGACGCUGAGGCACGAAAGCGUGGGGAGCAAACAGG